UAUGCUUAGUACAGCUUUCUAGUACAUUUGCUAAAAUGAAGUUCGUUUAAUUCCAGAAAUUUUUAAUUUACACACUUAUUUUAUAUAAAUAAAGUUAUUAGCAAAUUUAUUAACUAAUAUAGUGCCAGCAGUUGCGGUUAAACUAUUAAUAAAUUGUACUUUAUUUAUUUUUCUUGAAAAUUUUAUUAAAAAUUUAAAUAUUAAGUAAAAUUUUAUCAUUAGUUUUUAAAAAUUAUUUUUAGAAAUAAAAUUUUAAAUUUAAAAUAGGAUUAGAUACCCUCUUAUAUUAUUAUGUACUAAGGUAGUAAAUUUAAACCUAUGUAGUUUGGCGGCAUUUAGUCAUUUUAGAGGAAUCUGUCUUUUAAUCGAUACCCCACGAUAAAUUUUACUUUUAUUCAUAUCUUAUAUACCGCCAUCAUAAGGACUAAUAAUAUAUAUUUUAUUCUUAAUAGAAAUCUAACAAGUUAGGUAAAGGUGUAGACUAUAAAAAAGUUAAGAUGGAUUACGUUAAGUUAUUACUUAAGGAUGUUUAAGUAAAUUAUUUAAGGAAAAAGGAUUUAUAAGUAAUUUAAUUAAUAGUAUUUUUUAAUGAAACUGAUAAAAAAUGUGCACAUAUCGCCCGUCACCCUUAUCCAAAGGUAAGGUAAGUCGUAACAUAGUUGGUGUUUUGGAAAAAGCAUCAGG
rnacentral:rRNA from 1 species